rnacentral:lncRNA from 10 species
ACUCGCGUCGGUUGGCGACUCCCGGACGUAGGUAGUUUGUUGGGCCGGGUUCUGAGGCCUUGCUUCUCUUUACUUUUCCACUCUAGGCCACGAUGCCGCAGUACCAGACCUGGGAGGAGUUCAGCCGCGCUGCCGAGAAGCUUUACCUCGCUGACCCUAUGAAGGAUCAUUAGUUCCUGUUGUUUAAAACUCAUGUGAACCUUUAAGAUGGGCUGAAGAAAAGUGGAUCUGUACUACAAAAUGAGGAAAGGGCUGCCAGCUUAAAGUUGCUGUUUUUGAAGAUUCUACAACAGAUGGCUUUAUGACCAACCAUAAGCAGAUCUUAAGUAUCUAGUGAAGAAUUUAACUGCUAACAAGGAAGAAUUUGGUUUGAUUUAAAAGUAAUAUCUUCAAGCCUGGGCAACAUGGAGAAACCCCGUCUCUACUAA